UGCCUGAUAGUAUAAUGGUAGUACUCGCGACUCUGACUCGCUCAGUCUUGGUUCGAAUCCAGGUCAGGCAA
rnacentral:tRNA from 1 species